rnacentral:rRNA from 1 species
UACGAGUGCCUCAAGCGUUAUCCGGAAUCAUUGGGCGUAAAGGGUGUGUAGGUGGUCGCAUUAGUCUUUUGUUAAAUUUCCCGGCUUAACCGGGAACCUGCGAAGGAAACGGUGCGACUAGAGGAUGCAAGGGGUCUGCGGAACUCAUAGUGUAGCGGUGAAAUGCGUUGAUAUUAUGGGGAACACCAAAAGCGAAGGCAGCAGACUAGGGCACUCCUGACACUGAAACACGAAAGCGUGGGUAGCGAAUGGGAUUAGAAACCCUGGUAGU